AGCUGAUGCUCAUUUCAGGGCUUUUCAAUAAAACAAGGAUAUGGACAUACCAGAAUGAAUCCACUGAGUGCCACCAAGAUGACUAGGAGGCUGGAACACAUCCCACCAAGGAGUACCAGGACUUUCCUCAACAUUGUCUACUUCCACUGUUAAAUCUCUGCAGUUAACUGUCCACCAGUUGUGAUUAAAGCAGAAAGCUGCAGCUGGCUCAGGUGCACGCUGUCUGUGUCCCUCAGCUCCCCAGGAGAAGACUGUAAACUACAAACUGCAGCAAACCACAGAUCCCACACUGUCACCCAGCCAACCAGCACCAACCACUGCAACCUUCUCUUGCAUUUGAAAUUAAGUGGGAAUCUGAGAGAACACUCCACAACUUGCUGGAAUUGUUGAAGUUCCCUAGACUGGGGAGAUGCAACAGGACCAAGUAGCUACAACGGAUAUGAUAUAGCUGGUUUGAGAUGUGGCAACACAUGAGGUCAGAAGUCUACAAGAAAACACCAAACUUCACAGGUUUUACACAUUGAGGACACUGACUGCAGUCUUCUGCUCAUGGUGUACAUUAAACAAAUUAUUUAUCUUGGGUCACUCCCGGUCCUAAAGAUCUAUUUAUUGAACUGCUUUGUUAAUGAAAAUUGGCAAUCACAAUAUUUUAUUUAUGCAUGUUUACUGCAAUAA